ensembl:processed_transcript uncharacterized LOC110330227
UGUGAAAUCUCACACAACAUGGUUUUCCAGAAAGACAACUGGAGGCAACAUCUUCCAGGUCAUGAGGAAGCAGCCUCGAGCAGCUGAGAGCCAGUCUACAUAACAGACUAAUGGGUACUACAACUGCCUGAUUCUCACCAGGGCCAAAAGCUUUCUGGGAAGUUGGAGGAGUGAGGAAUAGUAAUUGGGUAGAUAAAAAUGUACAAGCCAGGGAUCAGGGAGGCGUGAAUACUAUCAUGAGUGGGACGAGGGUGUUCUGCUCUUACAGCGCCAGCCGAGGUCCGUGGCAACAGAGGAGCCAACACAACUGUUCUUGGAACCUGCUUUGGAAGUUUCCCAGUUGGACGGCGAACUGGACUCACAUGGCCUCAAACUUGCUCUCUAGCCAAGGAUAACCUUUAACUUGCUGAACCUCUAGGAAGACCAGAGCAUAUACCCAAGCUUCCCACAAAAGCUCCUCAAAUUCCAAUCUCUUCUGGACCAGAGCUGCCCUUCAAGUGCCGGGAUUGCAGCAAGAAAAACAAAACCAGAAGGAAGGGGUGAGAGAAAAAAAAAAAAAAGCAAAUGGGGAACUGAAAAAUUAUUGAAGGGCUGGUGAGGUGACUCAGUGGAAAAAGGAGCUUGCUGCCAAGUCUGAAGACCAGAGUUCAAUUCCCAGGACCCACCUAGUAGAAGUUGUCUUUGGACUGCUCCAUGAAUAUUCAAACACAAACAUGUAUAUGUAUACAAAAUAAAUAAAUGUAAUUAAAAAAUAAAUGGCUGAAAAAGU